rnacentral:rRNA from 1 species
UACGUAGGGGGCGAGCGUUGUCCGGAGUUACUGGGCGUAAAGCGCACGCAGGCGGUCUGCUAAGUUUGGAGUGACAGUUGGUGGCUUAACUGCCAAAGUGCUUCGAAAACUGACAGACUUGAGGGCUUCAGAGGGACACGGAAUUCCGGGUGGAGUGGUGAAAUGCGCAGAUAUCAGGAGGAACACCGAUGGCGAAGGCAGUGGGCUGGGCCGGCACUGACGCUGAGGAGCGAAAGCGUGGGGAGCGAACAGG